CGCUAAAAACAUAGCAUAGCAAGAGCUCUCCAAGCUAAGUAAAUAUUAAGAAUAUAAACAUAUCUGGACGUAUAUUAUCUGAGGAGAAAGAAGACAAUGAAGAAGACUUUAAGAUUUAGCCCCUCUUAAGUAGAAAGCAGCCUACGAGAGAUAGGGGAGGCAGGGCUGUGCUGGAUCCAGGCAUUCCUCGCUGAUCUGCCACAUUCGAGCUGAAACAUGAAAGAGAGAGUUUUGCCCGGAGAAAAAACAAAAUGGCUGAACUCAUCAAUACUCGCCUGCCUAUUCAGCAGCUAUACGCAGGGAAAGGAAACAGAAAUGACAAACUUCAUAAGGACACUUUAUUUUAAUGGCGGUCCAUGCAACAUUGUUGCAUUAGCUUUAUUUGUAUUGUAUUAUUCUUUUUUGUGGGGUUUAUGAUUAUGUUGUUUUUAUGUUCUGCCCCAAGGAGAAAACACACCAAAUGAAAAAGCCUUUCUGCAUGUCAAUGUCUGUACAAGUACAAAAAGCAGAUGCAAAGUAGACUCACAGAAUGAUGAGGGAUAAGCAAAGUUUUGAGCGUUUUAUAAAGAGUAUCUGUUUUUAUAUUUGACAGAGUCAUCUUGAUCAGGAUUUUUAAAUGCCACAAAAAAUCAAUCAUUCAACACUGAGCUUCAGCUUUACGCUAUCAACCAGUUUUAGUUACUGCAGCAAUAUGUUUUUCUUGAGUAAACCACAUAGCAUAACAGAUGCAUCAAGCU